AACAAAUUAUCUAAAGAGAGAGAGAGAGGAAACCGUGAAAGGGAGAGAGGGAAGAGAGACAAUUUUCCCAACAUCCACGGAGGCUUUGAAGAUGAUGGAAGAGAAUUGAAGGAAAAGAAAGAAGAUCACCCAUGGGACUUGGAGGAAUUGAAGAGAGCUAAGAGAUAGACAAAGAUUGAGUUAGGUCGAGACGAGGACAUCGUCCUAUUACUACCGGGAGCUGAUCACUGUGAGUAGUAGUACGGUAGUCGUACGUUCAAUUAUCGUUAAUUAUUUUUAUCGUUAAUAUGCUAUUCCUUGCAAGUACUUAAGUUAACAAUGUGUCGAUUGGAAAAUCUAGAGGCAUUAUUGAGCGGUAUUACUGUUGACAAAGAAGACUAACAUUCUGUUAUUUGCAAGAUAGCUAUAGUGAUUCAUGAUGAACAAAGGGAACGUAUAAGCACUAUGGAACCAUGGUAAUUACUUUGGGAGUCCGUCUUAACCCUUGAUGCUCACCCUCCAAUUGUCAACCUCAGUAUGCCCAGACUCCCAGACCAAGCCCAUGCAUUUAUGUGAAGUUUUGUUAAGAUUUUGGCUUGCACUUUAAUUAUUUACUUAAGGUUAAAAUGUAUGUAUAUAUCCCCUUUCUUUACCAAUGUUCGGAUAUAACGCUCAUUUAUAUGUAUGGGUAUGUAUAUAGAUAAAUGGCUCUCACGUAUGUGAUCCUGGCAUGUUAGUUUUACCUCAAUGGAUGUUAUUCUAUGUUACUUUGUAAUAUUAAAUGCUUCCGUUCAGGCCCUAUAUAUUAUGUAUAUCAGGUUAUGUGUCCGUAUCUGCAUAGGUCAUGCCUGAACUUUUAGGGGCGAGUUUGGGGCGUGACAUCUAAUGUUUUGUUUUAUCUGUCUUUUAUUUAUUGGAGACAAAAAAGAACAAUGGGGUUCCUGUUAGUCGGUCACAGGUGUGGAUGGUCGCAUACAUGAAUACAUUGUUAAUGCUACCUAAUUUGAUUCCACUCAGGUGAUACUGUUUAUUUGAUUCUAAAGCUACUCGUUUAAUCAUUUAAACAAUUAGGGAGUACGUGAUGA